rnacentral:lncRNA from 1 species
UGAGUCGUCAGGUUUUAUAUUUCUCUCCUCCUCCUCCUCCUCCUCCUCCUUCUCCUCUUCUUCUCUUGUUAUGACCCAUUUCUGGAGCGACUGCCACCGAGACAGAUACACUAUGAUGAACAGUGAAUUCAGAGCUGGUCGGACCACAACAGCCAAAAGAGGAAGCAGUGUCCUCAACAGAGUGUUUGAUUACCAGCGCGUCCCCUCUUCAGUCCCGGUGGAUCCUACUCCCGUCAAACGUCCACGCCCUUCAUCAACGUCCUCCUCCACAUCUUCCUCCUCUACAGCGGCUCAGAGGAUGAAGAGCAGCAGAGCAUUUAACCACAGCAGUAACACACACGCCUCCCCUUGUGGCAGCAGCAGUGCUAAAUGUAAGAAGAUACUGUGCAGACAAAACUACACGUUUGAACAUGAGAUCCGGUAUCACUGCAUCAGCAUAAUCAUGUUGC